AGAACUUUUGAUAUAAUUAAAAUGUAUUUUAUGUUUUGUAAUCAUAUUAUGAUGAUAGGUAUUAUGAGUGCGAGUUAUAUACACAUGAUGCAAAAUUUUCAAGAUAUCAUAAUAUGUCCGUGUUUUGAGUAGCAUAUGAGCCUGCAUCUGUGUCUAUUUUUGUCAUCAUGUUU